CCUACGGGAGGCAGCAGUGGGGAAUAUUGCACAAUGGGGGAAACCCUGAUGCAGCGACGCCGCGUGAGUGAAGAAGUAUUUCGGUAUGUAAAGUUCUAUCAGCAGGGAAGAAAUAGCGACCUUUGGGUCGCCAGACGGUACCUGACCAAGAAGCCCCGGCUAACUACGUGCCAGCAGCCGCGGUAAUACGUAGGGGGCAAGCGUUAUCCGGAUUUUCGGGGUGUAAAGGGAGCGUAGACGGCAGCACAAGUCUGAAGUGAAAUGCCGGGGCUUAACCCCGGAACUGCUUUGGAAACUGUGCAGCUAGAGUGCAGGAGAGGUAAGUGGAAUGCCUGGUGUAGCGGUGAAAUGCGUAGAUAUUAGGAGGAACACCAGUGGCGAAGGCGGCUUACUGGACUGUAACUGACGUUGAGGCUCGAAAGCGUGGGGAGCAAACAGGAUUAGAUACCCUGGUAGUC
rnacentral:rRNA from 1 species